rnacentral:rRNA from 1 species
GAGUUUGAUCCUGGCUCAGAUUGAACGCUGGCGGCAUGCCUUACACAUGCAAGUCGAACGGCAGCACGGGAGCUUGCUCCUGGUGGCGAGUGGCGAACGGGUGAGUAAUGCAUCGGAACGUAUCCUGGAGUGGGGGAUAACGUAGCGAAAGUUACGUUAAUACCGCAUAUUCUGUGAGCAGGAAAGCGGGGGACCUUCGGGCCUCGCGCUCUUGGAGCGGCCGAUGUCGGAUUAGCUAGUUGGUGAGGUAAAGGCUCACCAAGGCGACGAUCCGUAGCAGGUCUGAGAGGAUGAUCUGCCACACUGGAACUGAGACACGGUCCAGACUCCUACGGGAGGCAGCAGUGGGGAAUUUUGGACAAUGGGGGCAACCCUGAUCCAGCCAUGCCGCGUGAGUGAAGAAGGCC